GAUGAACGCUAGCUACAGGCUUAACACAUGCAAGUCGAGGGACCGGCGUACGGGUGAGUAACGCGUAUCCAACCCUCCCAUUACUGUGGGAUAACCUGCCGGACGGCAGACUCCUACCGCAUAGUAAUGGAUGGGGAUGCGUCUGAUUAGCUUGGUGGCGGGGUAACGGCCCACCAAGGCGACGAUCAGGAGGGGUUCUGAUAGGAAGGGCCCCCACAGUGGAACUGAGACACGGGCCAAACACCUACGGGAGGCAGCAGUAAGGAACAUUGGUCAAGGGACGGAAGUCUGAUCCAGCCAAGUAGCGUGCAGGAUGACGGCCGAUGGAUUGUAAACUGCUUUUGUAUGGGAAUAGGUACCAUAUGAAUAAGGACCGGCUAAUUCCGUGCCAGCAGCCGCGGUAAUUC
rnacentral:rRNA from 1 species